rnacentral:rRNA from 1 species
GACGGAGGAUGCAAGUGUUAUCCGGAAUCACUGGGCGUAAAGCGUCUGUAGGUGGUCAAAUAAGUCAACUGUUAAAUCUUGAGGCUCAACCUCAAAAUCGCAGUCGAAACUAUUAGACUAGAGUAUAGUAGGGGUAAAGGGAAUUUCCAGUGGAGCGGUGAAAUGCGUAGAGAUUAGGAAAGAACACCGAUGGCGAAGGCACUUUACUGGGCUAUUACUAACACUCAGAGACGAAAGCUAGG